rnacentral:snoRNA from 1 species
AUGAUGAAACAGCCAGGACCCUGAUGAGAUGAUGAAUGGUGGGCUUAGCUGA